rnacentral:rRNA from 1 species
GGUCCUUCGGGGCCCAGUGGCGCACGGGUGCGUAACGCGUAUGCAACCUACCUUCGACUGGGGGAUAGCCCGGAGAAAUCCGGAUUAAUACCGCAUAACACCAUGUGAGGACAUCCGAGUAUGGUUAAAGAUUCAUCGGUCGAAGAUGGGCAUGCGUGCCAUUAGCUAGUUGGUGGUGUAACGGACCACCAAGGCGACGAUGGCUAGGGGUUCUGAGAGGACGGUCCCCCACACUGGCACUGAGAUACGGGCCAGACUCCUACGGGAGGCAGCAGUAGGGAAUAUUGGGCAAUGGGCGGAAGCCUGACCCAGCCAUGCCGCGUGCAGGAUGAAGGCCUUCUGGGUUGUAAACUGCUUUUAUCAGGGAAGAAAACACCCAUGCGUGGGGAACUGACGGUACCUGAGGAAUAAGCACCGGCUAACUCCGUGCCAGCAGCCGCGGUAAUACGGAGGGUGCAAGCGUUGUCCGGAUUUAUUGGGUUUAAAGGGUGCGUAGGCGGCCCAUUAAGUCAGUGGUGAAAGCCCGGGGCUCAACCCCGGAACCGCCAUUGAUACUGGUGGGCUUGAGUAUGGACGAGGUUGGCGGAAUUGAGGGUGUAGCGGUGAAAUGCUUAAAUACCCUCAAGAACACCGAUUGCGUAGGCAGCUAACUAGGCCAUAACUGACGCUGAGGCACGAAAGCGUGGGGAGCGAACAGGAUUAGAUACCCUGGUAGUCCACGCCGUAAACGAUGACUACUCGAUGUCGGCGACAAACCGUCGGCGUCUUAACGAAAGCGUUAAGUAGUCCACCUG